rnacentral:ribozyme from 1 species
ACAAGCUUGAGUGCCAUAGGAGAAGUGCUCAUGGUGUGGCCUGUCAGGUUCCAACGAAUCUGCAAAUUCUGCU